rnacentral:lncRNA from 1 species
GAACAAUAACAACAAAAAUGGCGAACACUGGUAAAGCUCCUACUGUGUGUGCCUGGCCUGUUUUGAAGUGCUUUACAUACAUUAACGCAUCUAAAACCCACAAGGACCCAAGAGGUCCACUUUGGUUUCAUCCUUUCUGUAUCUGGAACCCAGGAACCAAAAAAAUGAAAAAGUCCUCCUGCUUCUAGAAACAAUGGGAGGGAAAAUGUGCACCUAUCUCAUGCACGCCUUCAAUACCACAGGGAUACAAUUCGUUCCAGAAGUUCUGCAGAGAUGGUUCCCUCUCUGUGAGCAUUCUACACCGGAUAAAGGGAAGCACAAAAUCUCUCUUAGAGAAGAGUUUCCAACAUUUCCGUUAAGGCAACUAUCUGCUGGUAAAUUACAAAUGAGAAGAAGCAAUACCUUCACAUUCCCA